rnacentral:rRNA from 1 species
AGUGAACGCUGGCGGUAGGCCUAACACAUGCAAGUCGAACGGCAGCACAGUAAGAGCUUGCUCUUACGGGUGGCGAGUGGCGGACGGGUGAGGAAUACAGCGGAAUCUACUUUUUCGUGGGGGAUAACGUAGGGAAACUUACGCUAAUACCGCAUACGACCUACGGGUGAAAGCAGGGGAUCUUCGGACCUUGCGCGAUUGAAUGAGCCGAUGUCGGAUUAGCUAGUUGGCGGGGUAAAGGCCCACCAAGGCGACGAUCCGUAGCUGGUCUGAGAGGAUGAUCAGCCACACUGGAACUGAGACACGGUCCAGACUCCUACGGUAGGCAGCAGUGGGGAAUAUUGGACAAUGGGCGCAAGCCUGAUCCAGCCAUACCGCGUGGGUGAAGAAGGCCUUCGGGUUGUAAAGCCCUUUUGUUGGGAAAGAAAAGCAGCAGGUUAAUACCCCGCUGUUCUGACGGUACCCAAAGAAUAAGCACCGGCUAACUUCGUG